rnacentral:rRNA from 1 species
UGCCAGCAGCCGCGGUAAUACGGAGGGUGCAAUCGUUAAUCGGAAUUACUGGGCGUAAAGCGCGCGUAGGCGGUCUGUUAAGCUGGAUGUGAAAGCCCAGGGCUCAACCUUGGAACUGCAUUCAGAACUGGCAGACUAGAGUAUUGGAGAGGUAAGUGGAAUUUCCCGUGUAGCAGUGAAAUGCGUAGAUAUGGGAAGGAACACCAGUGGCGAAGGCGACUUACUGGCCAAAUACUGACGCUGAGGUGCGAAAGCGUGGGGAGCAAACGGGAUUAGAUA